UCGGGUGGGGUGCAGAAUUUGCACCUGGGGUUAACGACUCUAUAUAUAUAUAUUGAAAAGUAGUGGCAUGGAUAUCGACAUUGUUGCUGCCGUGCGAUGCACCUCGUGAUUCCCACCGGCCUAGCAUUUCUCGACUAUUUAUCAUUUUCUAGAGAAGUUCACGGCAAUCAAUAAAUGUGUAGCAGACCCUGUGCAUUUGCCGUAUCAGGCCUAGGCCGUCCACUAGGUGCUGCACACACCCGUGACUCUUCUCGCACCACACCAUAUCCUCUCCUUGCUCACGAGCAGGCUGGCCGUGUUGUCCGCACUGCCGGCCCCUUCCUCCACAAGAUCAGCCCGCACCAUGAUCCAGCACCUCUUCCACCUCAACAGCCAUCACCCGGACGACGAGCUGGAGCUCGACCAGAGCAGCUCGUGCUCAAGAACAGCAGCAGCCAUGGCGCUCGGCGCUCCCCAUCUUCCUCCAGGAGCACGAGGUUCUGGCCUAGGAGACCUCGGGCGCCUCCAGGUCUUCGCCGCGCGCCGGCGCCGCUGAGGAGACCUCCUCUGCCUUCGGCCCUUGAUGGCAACAUAUCUGUUCGUCUGCCUUCGGGAGCUCUGGCAUUGGCGCUCCGCCGACCUUCUAUGGAUUGUGCUGUUCUUCUUGCAUUUGCCUCUUUUUUUUUUGACAAUUAGGUCGAUUUCGAUGGUGUACAUCCGCCACUUGCACUGGACGCCUUGUUCUCGUGGAGGUAAAGAGUAAUGGCAGCAACAUGGACUGGGAUGAAAGGUAAGAAUGAAGAGGAAGCAAAAAUGUCACCAUGGCGAUGGAGGCCGUGUUUGUUGCCGCCGCUGUUCGUGUGCUGCCGCUGCUGAAGCUGCAUGUGGUCGAGCUCGACGCCAAAGAGCACGCCGGCGGAGCUGGGUGAAUUUAUUUGUCCAAAAUACUUAGACUGGGAUUUGUGUUUGUGCUUGAUUCCUGGCCGCAACGAAGAAACGCUGCGAGUUGUUACUUGAAGGCACUUUGUUAUAUUAUGAGAUUGUCAGAUAUCAAAAUGUGAUAGCAUCUCUUUGAUUCACAGUUAAAAGGUAGAUGCUUUAAAAUGCCUAUUGGACAAUAGAAGUGGAAGCAUUGACAUGCCUAUUGGGUAAUAGCGUGGAUGCUUGUCAUGCCUAUUAGGUAACAGAACACUGAAAUAGUUGUGUGUAUUGAGAGGCAGAAGUAUGACAUGCUUAAGCUUUUAUUUUAA